rnacentral:rRNA from 1 species
GAUGAACGCUGGCGGCGUGCCUAAUACAUGCAAGUCGAGCGAACGGACGAGAAGCUUGCUUCUCUGAUGUUAGCGGCGGACGGGUGAGUAACACGUGGAUAACCUACCUAUAAGACUGGGAUAACUUCGGGAAACCGGAGCUAAUACCGGAUGCUAUUUUGAACCGCAUUGUUCAAAAGUUAACGACGGUCUUGCUCUCACUUAUAGAUGGAUCCGCGCUGCAUUAACUAGUUGUUAAGGUAACGGCUUACCAAGGCAACGAUGCAUAGCCGACAUGAGAGGGUGAACGGCCACACUGGAACUGAGACACGGUCCAGACUCCUACGGGAGGCAGCAGUAGGGAAUCUUCCGCAAAGGGCGAAAGCCUGACGGAGCAACGCCGCGUGAGUGAUGAAGGUCUUCGGAUCGUAAAACUCUGUUAUUAGGGAAGAACAUAUGUGUAAGUAACUGUGCACAUCUUGACGGUACCUAAUCAGAAAGCCACGGCUAACUACGUG